rnacentral:rRNA from 1 species
ACGGAGGGGGCUAGCGUUGUUCGGAAUUACUGGGCGUAAGGCGCGCGUAGGCGGCUUUGUAAGUUAGAGGUGAAAGCCCGGAGCUCAACUCCGGAACUGCCUUUAAGACUGCAUCGCUAGAACGUUGGAGAGGUGAGUGGAAUUCCGAGUGUAGAGGUGAAAUUCGUAGAUAUUCGGAAGAACACCAGUGGCGAAGGCGACACACUGGCCCGUUACUGACGCUGAGGCGCGAAAGCGUGGGGAGCAAACAGGA